CCAAAGCUGGCGACCGGCGCACGGGUGAGUAACACGUAUCCAACCUGCCUCAUACUCGGGGAUAGCCUUUCGAAAGAAAGAUUAAUAUCCGAUAGCAUAUAUUUCCCGCAUGGGUUUUAUAUUAAAGAAAUUCGGUAUGAGAUGGGGAUGCGUUCCAUUAGUUUGUUGGGGGGGUAACGGCCCACCAAGACUACGAUGGAUAGGGGUUCUGAGAGGAAGGUCCCCCACAUUGGAACUGAGACACGGUCCAAACUCCUACGGGAGGCAGCAGUGAGGAAUAUUGGUCAAUGGACGCGAGUCUGAACCAGCCAAGUAGCGUGAAGGAUGACUGCCCUAUGGGUUGUAAACUUCUUUUAUAUGGGAAUAAAGUUGUCCACGUGUGGAUUUUUGUAUGUACCAUAUGAAUAAGGAUCGGCUAACUCCGUGCCAGCAGCCGCGGUAAUACGGAGGAUCCGAGCGUUAUCCGGAUUUAUUGGGUUUAAAGGGAGCGUAGGCGGAUUGUUAAGUCAGUUGUGAAAGUUUGCGGCUCAACCGUAAAAUUGCAGUUGAUACUGGCAGUCUUGAGUGCAGUAGAGGUGGGCGGAAUUCGUGGUGUAGCGGUGAAA
rnacentral:rRNA from 1 species